AACGAACGCUGGCGGCAUGCCUAACACAUGCAAGUCGAACGAGACCUUCGGGUCUAGUGGCGCACGGGUGCGUAACGCGUGGGAACCUGCCCUUAGGUUCGGAAUAACUCCCCGAAAGGGGUGCUAAUACCGGAUAAUGUCUUCGGACCAAAGAUUUAUCGCCUUGGGAUGGGCCCGCGUUGGAUUAGCUAGUUGGUAGGGUAAAAGCCUACCAAGGCGACGAUCCAUAGCUGGUCUGAGAGGAUGAUCAGCCACACUGGGACUGAGACACGGCCCAGACUCCUACGGGAGGCAGCAGUGGGGAAUAUUGGACAAGGGGCGAAAGCCUGAUCCAGCAAUGCCGCGUGAGUGAUGAAGGCCGUAGGGUUGUAAAGCUCUUUUACCCGGGAUGAUAAUGACAGUACCGGGAGAAUAAGCUCCGGCUAACUCCGUG
rnacentral:rRNA from 1 species